rnacentral:rRNA from 1 species
GCAUAGAGAGCUUGCUCUCGGGUGACGAGUGGCGGACGGGUGAGUAAUGUCUGGGAAACUGCCCGAUGGAGGGGGAUAACUACUGGAAACGGUAGCUAAUACCGCAUAACGUCGCAAGACCAAAGAGGGGGACCUUCGGGCCUCUUGCCAUCGGAUGUGCCCAGAUGGGAUUAGCUUGUAGGUGAGGUAACGGCUCACCUAGGCGACGAUCCCUAGCUGGUCUGAGAGGAUGACCAGCCACACUGGAACUGAGACACGGUCCAGACUCCUACGGGAGGCAGCAGUGGGGAAUAUUGCACAAUGGGCGCAAGCCUGAUGCAGCCAUGCCGCGUGUAUGAAGAAGGCCUUCGGGUUGUAAAGUACUUUCAGCGGGGAGGAAGGGAGUGAGGUUAAUAACCUUAUUCAUUGACGUUACCCGCAGAAGAAGCACCGGCUAACUCCGUGCCAGCAGCCGCGGUAAUACGGAGGGUGCAAGCGUUAAUCGGAAUUACUGGGCGUAAAGCGCACGCAGGCGGUCUGUCAAGUCGGAUGUGAAAUCCCCGGGCUCAACCUGGGAACUGCAUUCGAAACUGGCAGGCUGGAGUCUUGUAGAGGGGGGUAGAAUUCCAGGUGUAGCGGUGAAAUGCGUAGAGAUCUGGAGGAAUACCGGUGGCGAA